rnacentral:RNase_P_RNA from 1 species
GAGAGGGAGAGAGCGGCCGACGGUGGCGUGAACGCUGCUGAGGAAAGUCCCCCCACCAUCCGGGCGCGUGGCUGCAUGCAAAUGCAGAUGGCGAGAGCCAUGGCGAUGGCACAGAAACGGAACGGCCUGCUGCCAGCGAUGAAACGAUUCGAUCGUGCAGGAAUGCAGGAGAGAGCUGCACAGAGGUGCUGAAAAUUCGUUGAGCGCAUCAGCAGGAGGCGUUGAAACGGUGAAUCCCCACGGGUGCAAGCCAGAAAGGGACUGACGGACUGUCCGGGUCCUGUCCAGGUAUGGCGCAUAGCUGAAUGCCGCUUUAAACAGAAGGGGGCUUAUUACUCCCGCUC